GGGCUUCCCCACAUCCAGACUUCUGCUUAGAGAGAAGGCUAGGGAGGGAAGAGGAGAGAGCUCGUGCUGGGCCUGAGCCUGGCCUGUACGCCUAACAGCCUCCCCAUCGGCAGCAGGAGAAGACAUACUGCAGGGCUCAGUGAGGGAGCAGAGAGGGACAGCUCCGGGGCCCAAGCAGGGUGUAUCUCAUUCCAGUGCAGGGCCUCUGGACAGCCCAGGUUGGUGGCAUCCCCACCCUGGUACUCACACAGGUGGUGCUCUUCAUAGUGAUGUCAUUAGAAAGGACAUUUCUGCCAUUGUUCAGGCUGGCUUCAACAAAGACCUCCUUAAAGCACAGAAAGCGAAGAUGGUGAGAGCCAGCCCGGAGAGAUGCAGUUCUUGCCCUUGUGUCCAUUGGCUUAACUCUGAAAGGCGACCUGGAGCAACGGCACCAUUUCUCGGGCAAUCAUCUCCUGCAUCCUGCCCUCCUCACAGACCCUAG
rnacentral:lncRNA from 1 species